UAGCGGAGGAAAAGAAACUAACAAGGAUUCCCCUAGUAACGGCGAGUGAAGAGGGAAGAGCCCAAGUUUGAAAGCUGGCGUCUUCGGCGUCCGCAUUGUAAACUCGAGAAGCGUUUUCCGCGCCGGACCAAGCUCAAGUCCCUUGGAAUAGGGCAUCAUAGAGGGUGAGAGUCCCGUACUUGGCUUGGAGUCCCCGGGGCUUUGUGAUACGCUCUCCAAGAGUCGAGUUGUUUGGGAAUGCAGCUCAAAAUGGGUGGUAAAUGCCAUCUAAGGCUAAAUAUCGAGGAGAGACCGAUAGCGAACAAGUACCGUGAGGGAAAGAUGAAAAGAACUUUGGAAAGAGAGUUAAACAGUACGUGAAAUUGCCGGAAGGGAAGGGUAGGGAGUCAGAUAUGCUGUGCGGAUUCAGCCUUGUCUUUGGACUUGGUGUAUUUUCGUAUUGGCAGGCCAGCAUCGGUUUGUGCCGCUGGAUAUAGGCUCGGGGAAUGUGGCUUUGUCUUCGGUCAAAGUGUUAUAGCCCCUUGCUGAGUACAGCGGCAUGGACCGAGGCACGCAGCGCACCCUCUGGGCGGGCCCUCGGGCACCUUUGCGCUUAGGAUGCUGGCUUAAUGGCUCUCUGCCACCCGUCUU
rnacentral:rRNA from 1 species